rnacentral:rRNA from 1 species
GACAGAGGCCCCGAGCGUUAGGCGGAAUCACUGGGCUUAAAGCGUGUGUAGGCGGAUCGUUAAGUGUCUUGUGAAAUCCCCCGGCUCACCCGGGGAACCGCUGGGCAUACUGGCGAUCUUGGGCCAUUCAGGGGCAGCUGGAACAAGCGGUGGAGCGGUGAAAUGCGUAGAUAUCGCUUGGAACGCCGAAGGUGAAAACAGGCUGCUGGGAAUGUGCCGACGCUGAGACACGAAAGCCAGGGGAGCGAACGGG